ACUAGCUGGUUGGCUAAUGUGACUACCUACCCUAGGGCUAUGUGAGAGAGAAGGUCGGUUGGCUACUCCUAUCUUGAUGCAGAACUUCUGAGGUAGGGUGAGGUGCGGUAGUCUGUUGCAUCCCCCAUGCAACCACGGCCAAAGCCUAUAUAUAUCUACUAGACAAGGCUAUUGUGUUACUUAUGAAAAAUUAUCAGCACCGAUGGUCGGUAAGAAUUUUUCUGAAUCGACUCGAGUGCAACAUCCUCCUGCCAGAUGUUGUUAGCCCAUCCUCCGCUUGAAUGACAAGAUGCAUUUGAUGUUUCUUUUCGUGGCCUCAUGGUGAACUUGAGAACUU
rnacentral:lncRNA from 1 species